rfam:Oryzias latipes DNA, chromosome17, strain: Hd-rR.
AGCGUGGAUGAUGAAAACUGGACCUUAGGUAGGCCUUUUUUGGGCUGUUUUGGCCUAAAGCUUUGGGCUUACCAAUGGUAGGGCUUGUCAUAGUUACACUGACACGCA